rnacentral:sRNA from 1 species
UAAGAUUAACUCCGAUGAGUGAUAAGGC